rnacentral:ribozyme from 1 species
GUCAUCACAGAAAGAUACCUCUGCGCGGUUGAUGACAGGCAACUACUUAAAUGAGUAGGCAAAAGGCUUUCA